rnacentral:lncRNA from 1 species
UUUGAUAUUUUAAUAAUAUAAAUAAUAUAAAUUAAUAGUGUGUAGACGUCGGCAAAAAUAUGUACACUGUAUGUAUCUAUGUAUGUAUUCAAGUGGCAUCACAUUUCAAAACGAGGCAUAUGCAUACAUAUUUGUUUCAGUGUUUCAUUUUACAGCCUACAUACACAUUUAAUAGGCUUCAAAUUAAAAAAAGGAUUCUCGAGUAGUUUUUGAGUCCUCAUAUCAGUACUUAAUGAGUCGCUAGACUACACGAUGAAGUCCUGCUACCAAGUCUUUUUUGAGUAGGAAAUUUGAAUAUAGCUGCUUUGAUCUUGGUUCAGGAGAACAAGACUAUGGAGGAUUGAGAUUUAGAAGAGGUCAAUAUCUUCAAAAAUUGGGCUGAAAAACUUUCCUCACUAGUCCAAGUCCUUGUAUAUUUUCAUCGAGCCCAAAUCGAGUCCUUGAAUAUUUGCAUAUAUUCCAGUUUAUUGUAAAUCUCAUAUUGUGACUAAUGCUUGUUUGUCAAUUCUUAUUUAGUACUGAAGACUACCGUCCAGUGCAGCUCUAAAACUUAUAAAGUUCGGUCUUUGAGGACGUCACUCAACACUAUUUUUUU